AGUGAACGCUGGCGGCAGGCCUAACACAUGCAAGUCGAGCGGCAGCGCGGGGCAACCUGGCGGCGAGCGGCGGACGGGUGAGGAAUGCAUCGGAAUCUACCCUGUCGUGGGGGACAACGUAGGGAAACUUACGCUAAUACCGCAUGAUCUGGAGACAGCAAAGCCGGGGACCCGCAAGGGCCUGGCGCGAUGGGAUGAGCCGAUGCCCGAUUAGCUAGUUGGCGGGGUAAGAGCCCACCAAGGCGACGAUCGGUAGCUGGUCUGAGAGGA
rnacentral:rRNA from 1 species